UGCAAUUAAUCUUCGGAUUAAGCACUUUGAUGGGACUGCCCGGGAAACCGGGAGGAAGGUGGGGAUGACGUCAAGUCAUCAUGGUCCUUAUGUCCAGGGCUACACACGUGUUACAAUGGCUAAUACAAAGGGAAGCAAAACCGUAAGGUCAAGCAAACCCCACAAAGUUAGUCUAAGUUCGGAUUGAGGUCUGCAAUUCGACCUCAUGAAGUUGAAAUCGCUAGUAAUCGCGUAUCAUAACGACGCGGUGAAUACGUUCUCGGACCUUGUACACACCGCCCGUCACACCAUGAGAGCUGUUUGUACCCAAAGUCAUCUUAGCCAACCUGAAAAGGGGGCGGGUGCCUAAGGUAUGUAUGGUGAUUGGGGUG
rnacentral:rRNA from 1 species